rnacentral:rRNA from 1 species
UACGUAGGGUGCGAGCGUUGUCCGGAAUUAUUGGGCGUAAAGAGCUCGUAGGCGGCUUGUCGCGUCGGAUGUGAAAGCCCGGGGCUUAACUCCGGGUCUGCAUUCGAUACGGGCAGGCGUAGAGUUCGGUAGGGGAGAUCGGAAUUCCUGGUGGUAGCGGUGGAAAUGACGCAGAUAUCAGGAGGAACACCGGUGGCGAAGGCGGAUCUCUGGGACGGUACUGACGCUGAGACGCGAAAGCGUGGGGAGCGAACAGG